rnacentral:misc_RNA from 1 species
GAUGAAGAACGCAGCGUAAUGCGAUAAGUAAUGUGAAUUGCAGAAUUCAGUGAAUCAUCGAAUCUUUGAACGCACAUUGCGCCCGCCAGCACUCUGGCGGGCAUGCCUGUUCGAGCGUCAUUUCAACCAUCAAGCCCCCAGGGGCUUGUGUUGGGGCCCUGCGGCUGCCCGCAGGCCCUGAAAACCAGUGGCGGGCUCGCUAGUCACACCGAGCGCAGUAGCACAUCUCGCUCAGGGCGUGCGGCGGGCUCCUGCCGUGAAACCCCCCACUGUAACCCCAAAGGUUGACCUCGGAUCAGGUAGGAAUACCCGCUGAACUUAAGCAUAUCAAUAAGCGGAGGA